rnacentral:rRNA from 1 species
CGAGCGGCGAACGGGUGAGUAACACGUGGGUGAUCUGCCCUGUACUUCGGGAUAAGCCUGGGAAACUGGGUCUAAUACCGGAUAUGACCUUACAUCGCAUGGUGUUUGGUGGAAAGAUUUAUCGGUACAGGAUGGGCCCGCGGCCUAUCAGCUUGUUGGUGGGGUAAUGGCCUACCAAGGCGACGACGGGUAGCCGGCCUGAGAGGGCGACCGGCCACACUGGGACUGAGACACGGCCCAGACUCCUACGGGAGGCAGCAGUGGGGAAUAUUGCACAAUGGGCGAAAGCCUGAUGCAGCGACGCCGCGUGAGGGAUGACGGCCUUCGGGUUGUAAACCUCUUUCGACAGGGACGAAGCGCAAGUGACGGUACCUGUAGAAGAAGCACCGGCCAACUACGUGCCAGCAGCCGCGGUAAUACGUAGGGUGCGAGCGUUGUCCGGAAUUACUGGGCGUAAAGAGCUUGUAGGCGGUUUGUCGCGUCGUCCGUGAAAACUUGGGGCUCAACCCCAAGCUUGCGGGCGAUACGGGCAGACUUGAGUACUGCAGGGGAGACUGGAAUUCCUGGUGUAGCGGUGAAAUGCGCAGAUAUCAGGAGGAACACCGGUGGCGAAGGCGGGUCUCUGGGCAGUAACUGACGCUGAGAAGCGAAAGCGUGGGUAGCGAACAGGAUUAGAUACCCUGGUAGUCCACGCCGUAAACGGUGGGCGCUAGGUGUGGGUUUCCUUCCACGGGAUCCGUGCCGUAGCUAACGCAUU